CUCUUUCGAUCUAGAAAAAUCAAUAUUUUCAUAAAUCAAACCAUUAUUUUUGUGGGAAAUUUGAUGCUCUACAAAAAAGGUCUCUUAACAUUUUUCAUGAAAUUCACUCCUUUAAAAGUUAUUCGACAUUGAAAUUGUAUUCAAAA